UGUAGACACAUUUUGUAACUUCCGGGUUUGCUUUUGUAACAGUUCGAGUGUUGAUAUUGAAGAACGCAGAACGCUCAUAGAGCUUACAGCCAACGACAUUAUCAGACGGAUAGACUAAAGCGGGAAACAACCAUGGUGUGACUGCUAAUAAAAGCUAGCAUCUAUGUGGUAAGGAAGAUCCGGGCUGCCAUUGCUGAGGGGGAGCAAGUGGAAAAGCCCAUUAUUACACCAUGUAGUGCUAUAGCUGGAAUGAAAGCGGGGCAUGAGUCAAAUGGAAAUGCCCAGGCCAUCAUGCUGAACUCAGGUCCUGAUGGAGCUGCAGUUGUAGCAGCAGGCUCGGGGAUGUCCUCAGAGACUGCUGUGCAGAAAUGCGGCUCCUGACGCUAGAGACCUGGCUGGACACUGGAACUGUGGUCACCUUGGUGGAGAAAUACAUCACACUUUGCAUUUUUACAUUUCAGGACAAUAAUCCUGGAUAAUUCCAUCUAUAAAUAGGGCAAUGUACAGUACAUACAUGAAUCAUUAUAUGUCAUACACACAUUUUACAGACCCCAUUCUACUGCAUUCUGGUGUCCAUCUGUUACUCAGUAACAAGGGUCCUGCUCCCAUUUUUUUAUGUGAGCCUACUUCACAGAGAAUGCUUUCUGGCAAUUCUAUUGUCACCUCCGUUUAUUGGAGAUGCCCAUGGCAUUAAGAUCUUCUUGUAGGUCAGCAACUUCUCUGUUAAAAGGGCCUUUUUUCAUGUACCGCAGUUAAUGAAGGCUGACUCGUAAACCUCUUUCCAGGGGCUGAGCAGGCCGGAUGUCUCUGCUGCCAUGUCAAUGAAAUAAAAAGAGAAAUAAAAAUCA